rnacentral:rRNA from 1 species
UGAGGAAUAUUGGUCAAUGGGCGCAGGCUUGAACCAGCCAAGUAGCGUGAAGGAUGACUGCCCUAUGGGUUGUAAACUUCUUUUAUAUGGGAAUAAAGUUUUCCACGUGUGGAAUUUUGUAUGUACCAUAUGAAUAAGGAUCGGCUAACUCCGUGCCAGCAGCCGCGGUAAUACGGAGGAUCCGAGCGUUAUCCGGAUUUAUUGGGUUUAAAGGGAGCGUAGGUGGACAGUUAAGUCAGUUGUGAAAGUUUGCGGCUCAACCGUAAAAUUGCAGUUGAUACUGGCUGUCUUGAGUACAGUAGAGGUGGGCGGAAUUCGUGGUGUAGCGGUGAAAUGCUUAGAUAUCACGAAGAACUCCGAUUGCGAAGGCAGCUCACUGGACUGCAACUGACACUGAUGCUCGAAAGUGUGGGUAUCAAACAGGAUUAGAUACCCUGGUAGUCCACACAGUAAACGAUGAAUACUCGCUGUUUGCGAUAUACAGUAAGCGGCCAAGCGAAAGCAUUAAGUAUUCCACCUGGGGAGUACGCCGGCAACGGUGAAACUCAAAGGAAUUGACGGGGGCCCGCACAAGCGGAGGAACAUGUGGUUUAAUUCGAUGAUACGCGAGGAACCUUACCCGGGCUUAAAUUGCAUUUGAAUAUAUUGGAAACAGUAUAGCCGUAAGGCAAAUGUGAAGGUGCUGCAUGGUUGUCGUCAGCUCGUGCCGUGAGGUGUCGGCUUAAGUGCCAUAACGAGCGCAACCCUUAUCUUUAGUUACUAACAGGUCAUGCUGAGGACUCUAGAGAGACUGCCGUCGUAAGAUGUGAGGAAGGUGGGGAUGACGUCAAAUCAGCACGGCCCUUACGUCCGGGGCUACACACGUGUUACAAUGGGGGGUACAGAAGGCAGCUACCUGGUGACAGGAUGCUAAUCCCAAAAGCCUCUCUCAGUUCGGAUCGAAGUCUGCAACCCGACUUCGUGAAGCUGGAUUCGCUAGUAAUCGCGCAUCAGCCAUGGCGCGGUGAAUACGUUCCC